GACGAACGCUGGCGGCGUGCCUAAUACAUGCAAGUCGAACGAACUCUGGUAAUGAUUGGUGCUUGCAUCAUGAAUUACAUUUGAGUGAGUGGCGAACUGGUGAGUAACACGUGGGAAACCUGCCCAGAAGCGGGGGAUAACACCUGGAAACAGAUGCUAAUACCGCAUAACAACUUGGACCGCAUGGUCCGAGUUUGAAAGAUGGCUUCGGCUAUCACUUUUGGAUGGUCCCGCGGCGUAUUAGCUAGAUGGUGAGGUAACGGCUCACCAUGGCAAUGAUACGUGGCCGACCUGAUAGGGUAAUCGGCCACAUUGGGACUGAGACACGGCCCAAACUCCUACGGGAGGCAGCAGUAGGGAAUCUUCCACAAUGGACGAAAGUCUGAUGGAGCAACGCCGCGUGAGUGAAGAAGGGUUUCGGCUCGUAAAACUCUGUUGUUAAAGAAGAACAUAUCUGAGAGUAACUGUUCAGGUAUUGACGGUAUUUAACCAGAAAGCCACGGCUAACUACGUGCCAGCAGCCGCAGUAA
rnacentral:rRNA from 1 species